GAUGAACGCUGGCGGCAUGCCUAAUACAUGCAAGUCGAACGACAAGACGAGCAUCUUGCUCCUCUGACGUUACGGGCGGGCGGGUAAUUAACACGUGGAUGCCCUGCCUAUAGGAAUAGGAUAACUUCAGGCGACCUGAGACAGUACACGAUCAUAUAUUGAACCGCAUGGAUCUAUAGUGCACGAGCUUUUUGCUGGCCCGUAUGCAGAGAACCGCGCCGGAUUAGUUAAUUGGUACGGUAACGGCUUACCAAGGCAACGAUGCGUAGCCGACCUGAGAGGGCGACCGGCCACACUGGAACUGAGACACGGUCCAGACUCCUACGGGAGGCAGCAGUAGGGAAUCUUCGGCAAUGGGCGAAAGCCUGACGCAGCAACGCCGCGUGAGUGAUGAAGGCCUUCGGAUCGUAAAACUCUGUUAGCAGGAAAGAACAAAUGUGUGAGUAACUAUGCACUUGAUGACGGUACCUAAACAGAAAGCCCCGGCUAACUACGUG
rnacentral:rRNA from 1 species